ACUAUGUUGUGGAAUGCUAACUUUGCGUACAGGAAUGAAACUUUUGAACUCAUUGUAAUUUAACUCAAAAUGAAAUUUUUAAAAUGCAUUACAGUGAUGUGUUUGACAAGCUUGAUCUAAGUUCGUAAAAGUACAAGUGUCUUCACUAUGAUUAGAUUGUGGACCAACAAGUAUCACAAAAUGGUAAGACCCACCCCAGAGUAUUAAAAAAACCUCCAACCGACACUGUACAAAACCGACUCGUGCUCAACGCUUGCCGCCAAACUUGAAAGAAAGUGAAAAUCGAAUCAAUUCGUUGAGGAUCGCAGUGCUGAGCUUCUUCAUAAACGACCUCCCUCCCCCUUGCACAUCGUUGCUGCCAGACCACCGCGCAUUUUGUUUUGGGACGGUCCAACAGGUUCCCGAGAUGAGAUAAUUCACUCUCGAUGGCUCUGACCACCACGACUGUGGUGGUGG